rnacentral:rRNA from 1 species
UACAGAGGUCUCAAGCGUUGUUCGGAUUCAUUGGGCGUAAAGGGUGCGUAGGCGGCGCGGUAAGUCGGGUGUGAAAUCUUGGAGCUUAACUCCGAAACUGCAUUCGGUACUGCUGUGCUUGAGGACUGGAGAGGAGACUGGAAUUUACGGUGUAGCGGUGAAAUGCGUAGAUAUCGUAAGGAAGACCAGUGGCGAAGGCGGGUCUCUGGACAGUUCCUGACGCUGAGGCACGAAGGCCAGGGGAGCAAACGGG